rnacentral:lncRNA from 1 species
GCUUAAGCGGGUGCUGAACCGGAACCUUCGCGUCCGGAACACAAAGGCGUCGCUGUGGUUCCGAGGACGACCACCUUCCCUGCCCAGAACAGCGGCUUCCUGCCGCCUGGGCCUCUGCGGAGACCAAGGCGUCCCCUCCCCGAAGGACAGGGCUCGGAGGGGAUCUUUUCUGGGGAAACCAAGCGGCAGCCCAGGACUCCGCGGUCCGCGCGUGGCUCGGGGACCACCCACGCGCCCAGCCCGCUCUCGCGAUAGUUACCUCCCGUGACGCGCGCACUGGCCAAUGAAGGCGGAGUACAGCUCCCGGGCCUCGGCAAACUCGCCCCUGGAGAAGCGAGCCUGCGCCGUGGCCAGGGCGGCCGAGCUCUCUCCGCCCUCUCGGCCUGGCCGCAAGGCCAUGACCGCCUCACCCGGGUGGAAGCGGAACCACAGCUACCGCUCACGGGACUUCGUUGGCUAAAGGAAAAGGACGUUUGUCCUGUUUGAAGACCCGUAGUAUCGCGAGACAACUGGUAGCGCCUGACGCCGUUCGCGGGAAAUUAAGAGAAUUUAAAUCUUUGUGACAUGUGUAUACAUAAUUAGAUUAGAUUAGAUUAGAUUAGAUUAGAUUAGAUUAGAUUAGAUUAGAUUAGAUUAGAUUAGAUUAGAUUAGAUUAGAUUAGAUUAGAUUAGAUUAGAUGGAUGAUAGAUAGACAGACAGACAGUGCCCAUGGCCGGGCGGUGGUGGUGCGCAUAUAUCCAGGCAGAAUGCUGUAUACAUAGUAAAUAAAGAAGUCUUUAAAAAAUUUUUUUUUAGAAAAUAAUUAUAGAAGCAGACAGUAGAGGGCAACAUAAUAUUGCUGUUUUCAUUUUAGAUACCCAAAAUAAGCGUCUAGAGCUAUGGCAACAGAGUUAAUAUUCUGUUACUUUGAAACAAAUUUGUCCAUGUUUCUGAGUGUGAACUUUCUGUAGUCUCUAUGGUAACAAUUCUCUGCCACUUCAGUCACUGUAUAUUUUCCUAAAAAGACUUAGCUUUUUCUCCC